AAAUAAUUUGUUUACUGUUAUUUUAUGAAAUAUUAUUAUAUUAUUUUGAGUAGUUCAAGUCAUAUCAAAUACAAUAAAUUUCAACUCAGUGAGAGAGCUCAGGUUAAAUCUAGCUCCUAUACAUUGAAAAAUUUUAAUAAGGGCGUCCUGGCCUGAUUCAUCCACUUCAAUCCAUCUGCCUCUACAGGGAUGCAGCUAGCUCAGGAUUGGGCCUGGAUUGGCCAUACCAGAGUAUAUCCAUGUUUGUCCAUAUAUCAUUUUUUGAAUCCUUUUGUCUAUUUUAUUUACCUAAAUUCUAUUUGCCUAUAUCUCACUUGCUUCAAUCCCAUUUCCCUGAAUAUAAGUUCCUAUAUUUAGGUAUAGUCAAAGUUUUCAUUGAAAGUCAAAGUCAAGUUAAAACAUUGCCCACUAUUAGGAAAAAAUUUAAUAAAACAUUUAUUUAUCAAUAAAACUACUAGUAAUAUUUAAAUAUGAUUAUUUUACGUUGUAUUUUUCAAUAUCUGGAUUAAAAUUGUUUAAGUAAUAUAUAAUAAUGUACUUAAAUAUUCAUCAAUUAAGUUUUAUUUUUGUAGUGCAUAAAUUAACA
rnacentral:lncRNA from 1 species